rnacentral:rRNA from 1 species
UACGUAGGGGGCGAGCGUUGUCCGGAUUUACUGGGUGUAAAGGGUGCUCAGGUGGUUUUGUAAGUCAGAGGUGAAAUUUCGGGGCUCAACCCCGGAACUGCCUUUGAUACUGCAAGGCUUGUGUACGGAAGAGGCUGAUGGAAUUUCUGGUGUAGCAGUGAAAUUCGUAGAUAUUCGCAAGAACACCAGUGGCGAAGGCGGCUCACUGGCCCGGUACUGACGCUGAGGUGCGAAAGCGUGGGGAGCAAACAGG